AAACAGGAAGGCCCUGGCUGCGAUAUUCAGCCACAUUAAAUGACCAGCAUUAUCCGGAGCCCUGCAACAUGAGUUAAUUGUGCUUGCAGGGCUUUGACGCUGGGAACACUGGAGAAAGGCUGUGCGUAAUUAGGAGCUGGCCCUACGAAAAGGGCUUUUUUCACACCACACGUACAGUUUCGGUCCUCAGAGGAGAGUGCCAAUGUGAGAAAGGUAACAUCAUUUUUAUCUGAAAUCACGUUGCUUGGUGAUGGGAGUCAUCAAGAUGAAGGGAGUCUGCCUACAGACAGUUGGCUGUAACUCGUCACCAUGAAGGUCUCCCACACCUCAUCCCAGUGAUUAUCCUUCUGCCAUUCCAUUCAACUAACCAUACAGCUGUCUUCAAAAAGACCAUAGCUCACGGGCAUGUCUUCAUUGAUAAUUGGAAACAAAAACCAAUUCAUGCCUGUCUCCUGGGAUAGUGUAACUCUGGGGAGUGAUGACAGCCUGGAAGAGAACUACUAAAGCAUUUCUGCCAGACAGCAAUGGAUGUAGAUUUACCAGGAAAUGUUACCCUUGAGAUGCCUACACUUCUCCAGGGCAGAAGGAACCUUGAAUCUCUCCUUUCAGAGGUUGCCAGAAGCCUUGAGAAGACUUCAAGCCUCUUACAGAGUACCAAGUGCCUAGCUUCCAGCAUUAAUCUGUUGAGUUGGAAGGUAUUUCUUGACUUUCCUUAGCUCUGUUUAACACAAUUUAAACAAAGAUCCCUUUCCUUGCACUCUGUCGUCCUAAGAGGAAGGCCUCUUUUCACACAGACCUGUGCCUAGUGGAGCUUCUAGGCUCAAUAGACAAUUGCAUUCAUUAUCUCCAGUCCUGACUUUCAAUUCAGAAAGGUGUCUUGUUUCAGUUCAUUAUCUCUCUGAGUUCCGGCUUCAUCCAUCUCCUUUAGAAAGUACCUUGCCUUUCUGCAAAGAGGCAGUGAAGACCAGUGGCCCUGUUCCCUGCCACAGGUGCUGGCAGCUCUUCACCUUGUCCGUGCGCAUCUCCUCCUCCUCCCACUCCACACCUUGACUCCUCAGGCCAGAAACCCCUCUUCCAAAUUCAAAAGGGUGCCUUCUCUCGUGAACCUGCCCUCUGGACAGACACUGUGAGCCCAGACACCGUGCUCCUCUCCAUUUUAUUUGCAAACCUAAUUUUUUCAUCUUUCAUGGACAGCUUACCAAGUCUCUCCUCUCAAAAAGAACCCUGGUCCCCCAAAUGAUCCAGGCAGGGUGCUCAACUCACCUUUCUCUUUGCAGAUCUCCCCUGCCAGAAGCCCAUGCCUUUGAAACAAGAAAGAAAUCAAGGCCAAUGGUAGGCAGAAGAGAGGAACUAAGAAAGAAAAAUAAAGAUAUGGGAUCAAAGCCUUAAAACACAGGGCUGGUUGCAUAGCACUGGACAGUGAAUCAGGAACUUUCUGAGGUGGGAAGAUUGUAGGCUCUUGGGCCCAAGACAUGUAUUUAACUGACAUAAAAAGUCAAUCCCAUCCAACCUUAAUUUCAUGUAAAAAUCAAGAAAGUAGAUUUAAAGUUGUGUGUGGUAGGAUUUUCCCCCACCUGUACCCUUAUCGUUUCCUUGCCUUCUCUGAAUGUGUGAAGACAGACAUAAAAAUAAACCCUGUUUAGUAUAAAACAUAUCAAAGCAUUGCCAGGAGCAAUAGUUCAUGUGUGUGAGUAGCAGAAAGCCAUGUCUGCUUUGUAGGCUAAGAGGAUCUAAUGCGUCCCUCAGCCCCACAAGGAGAAACUUGAAGCCACAUCUUGCAAGCCAGUCAGGAGCCAGAACCAUCUGGAUUCGUCACAUACCUGCUGGUGCCGCCUCGCCACAGAUCAUCCUCAGCUGUACCUUUCUUCCCAGUUGCCAGUCCUGCCCUUGAAGGGAUGCCUGGGGCUGCACAGAGAUUGCUAAAAGGACUGGGGAUCUCCAUGCUGUGGAGUAGUGGUGAGGGAGAAGCCUUAAGAUUCAGAAUCUGAUGGCUGCGGGGGUGUGAACUACUCCAGCAACUUGUCAGCCCACUCCUCAGUGAGGAUUCUCCGAUGUAGGCUUCUCUGUCUCCAAACAUGCCUCUGUGAAGCUUUGCUUGCUUCCUCUCUGUACUUCCCAGUCCUGCGCCCUCCCUGGUUUUUCCUGGAAAUGCUUCCAAAUAAAUCAUUUUCACAUGAUUUUUUUUUUUUUAAUCUCAAAAGCAGUCUCUAGAGAACCCAAUCUAAAACAUCCAAGAACAGAGCUAGGAGAUGGCUUGACACAGGCAGUGAAACGAAGAAAGUAAAGAAACAUGCUGAACCAUCUUCUAGAUCCCACGUCUUCUGAUCCCAAGGGGGACAGGUACACAUGAAAUAAAACAAAUGAAACAAAGUUAAAGAAAAUGGCACUAGAGAAGCCUCGCAAAGUAACUGCAGGAAGUAAGACAGGAAGAGAUGAGGAAAGGAGUCACAGAAAUUAUAAUACCAAUCUCCUCUUCCUGUGUCACAGUCACUGUGAGGAUCAAAUAAAAAAGUGGUCUGAAUAUGAUGAUUUAAAAAUGAAACUUCAGUCUCUGGAAAAGAAUAAUACCUAGUAAAGUAUUGAAUUAAGACAUUUUUUUGGAGGCUCCAAUUCCUUGUCUUAUUGGAGUAGUUGAGUUAAAAAUUGUUUUAUUUAAAAGCCUUAAGCCUUUAGGCGCAAGGUGGAAUUGUUUUGGAACCCUGUUACAAAGUAUAACUCCCAAAGAAAGAAAAAGGUGAAAGCAAAUGGAAACAAAUGGCCGUAUUGGUGGCACUGAAGCUUGGAAGGCGUAGAGGCCUCGUCCUGAAGGGCCUUGUACACCAUCCUACACGGCUGACUUCCAGAGGAAGGGGAUGGCCCAUGCUGACACACAUGACUAAGAUAUCAGCAGGGUGGAGAGUGGAUCACAGAGGAACAAGACCAGAAGGUGAAAGAUUGAGAGACUGUCUUGGGAAGAUGGGCAUGAGAUGAUGAUGUCCUUAUCUAGUGUAUCUAACCUACAGCCCACAGACUGAAUACAGCCCUGAACACCAAGUAAUGUAGUGCCACAAGAUUAUAUAUUUUAACAUCGGAUGUGAUUUUUAGAGAUACACUUCAUGAGUUGAUUGGACAGUGCUCCCACCCAGCUGUGCGGACCAGGGAACACUGCAGCACCAACUCUUGCUGUUGCAGCACAGCUCCUGCAGCACAGUCAGUCUAAUGCAAGCCCAGUGUAUCAGAUGUACACGCAUUUGAACAAUUUGGCGAGUAAAAUUAUCAACAAUGGUAUUUCAACCUACCUGCACAUAUGUGUAUGCCUGAAAAGAUAGGCAUUUAUUGUUAUUUAACAGACAAUUCCUUUUCACUCAGUAAGACCCAUGGUCUAGAUGAAGACCAGUCCCUAAAGGAGAGAGAGGAAGAGAACUCAGUGAAGAGACAUUUGGGUGAUAACAAUGAGUGGAUUUGGUGAAUGAGGAGCCUCCCUAUAAGAGGGGAGGGGGGGCAUAUUCUGUAAGGUGACUGCCCUGUAGAGGCAAGUCCCUAGGGCUAGGGACCAGAGCAGCAGCAUCCCUAACCUUUAUCACUCCAAGAAUCAUUUCCUGGCACUUAAAAUGCAGGUCUACAGUGCAGCCCCAUCCCUUGGGCUAACAGCAUAAACCAUUCCCACUCCCCAGCAACAGAAAAUCUUCUCUCCAGGCUGCUGCCUGCUGGGAGACUCAUGCUAGAGCUGUUUUUACAUGUUUGAGAGAGUCACAUCCCACAUAAUCAUAUAUGUGACAAAGGCCUCGGCUACAAGCAACAUUAAUGAAGACAAAUGAAUCAGCCAAAUGCUGCAGCCUGAACAGCAGCUCCCAGGGCCCUGCCUUGUGCACACAGCGGGGCUGCACCGCAGAGGUGUGGGGGUGGCUCACUUCUGGCUACAGUUCUCCUCUAGCCUGAUGGAGAUGUAUGAGACAUCUCCUACCCAGGGGGCCUCAGCAGGCUUGAAUAGCCCAGUUAGAAAGUAAGCAGUCUCAGGGGAAUUUGAGGGAAUUUUAAGAAGAUUUUAUGAAAGCUAUCUUAAGGAGAUAUGCAUGCAGAGAUUAGUUGGGCAGAGAAGUCUGAUGGUGGUAAAUAAACAAGCUCUCUGCUUUCUGGUGUGAUUGCUGAUUGGGAAAGCAGCUAUUGGAAUUUUAAUUCUAGCCAGUGAGUAAGUACACCCUAAAAGACAUCUUGCAGAGUGCCUUGGAUCAGUCCUGCACCCAAGAUGCUUUUGACUUGUAACUGAAUAUGCUGCUCCCCUUUAAGGCCACUUAUAUUAUUCUUCCCACCCAUAUCUCUUUGUGACAGAUGAGAAAACAUUCAACUUUGAGACUUUUACUGCAAUCUGUCAUGAGGAGAUCAGAAUCAAGAAAGAGAAAGAAAGAAAGAAAGAAGGAAAGAAAGGAAAGAAAGAAAAGAAAAGAAAAGAUAAAAGGUAGGGGCUUAUAAAUCAAGUGAUAUGAGCCUGGAGCUGGGGAAGUAACUGUGAUUCUGCCCUGGCUCUUGGUGGCAGGGAUAUCCAGCAGGCCCCACACCAACAGGCUAUGUUCUGUUGCUUAGAAUCAGUGCAGACAGCCUCCAGAGGUGGAAAGACAACAGUCCCAAGUGUUCUGGCAAGAAGACAUGGAAGAACUGCCCAGUUAAUGGGCAGAUGAGCUUGGGAAAGCAUUCAGACCCAGCAGCAGGAAGAAUCCCACCAUCAUGUUGGCAUUUGUUCCAUGUAAUUCAAGAGAUUGCAGGAAGGACAGCCUCUCUCUCCCAAGGGUUGUCUCCUACAGGCAGCAGAAAAAAAAGCCCCUUAUCAGAGACUCUGUGAAACACUCGCAGAAACUUCCUGACACAUAUUAAACAAGCCAGUGUUAUGAGGUCACUAUGAAGGGGUUUGAAACUAAUUCAUCAGUGGAGAGAUCAGUGGAUAGCAGUGAGACAACAGAAUGAAAACUUGGCAAGUCAGUAAAAAGUCUGGCAGUGUUCAGGGUUCAGACAGUGAAAUAACACCAGGUUUCAUCCGCUGAGACAGAAAUUUCAAUUGUACCUUAAAGGACAGAAAGUUAGGUGACAGAUCCACUGUCACCAGCCAUCUUCUUCAGAGAAUUUUCCUCCAAUGACACUCGGAUUGAUUUUCCAUUCCUAAAAGGAAGAAAAAGAAGUGGAAGUGAUCUGAAAACAUAUCUUUUAAUAAAGCCAGGCAAGAUGCUGGAAGGAUACACAUAAACAGGAGCAAUAAACAACAAAAAUAUCAUGAGAAAA